CGCAAUGGUAGCGCGUGAGAUUCCAGUCCUCAAGGUUGCGGGUUCAAUUCCCGUCGCUG
rnacentral:tRNA from 14 species